UGUGCCACCCCAAGAUUUAAUGUGGCCCCCCACUGGCCACCCCCAUGAAAAAAUUCUGGAGGCGCCACUGCCGUUACUGACUGCAACAGCAGCCCCACGAGUCCGCUGCUCAGUCUGAGCAUGCGCAGACCCUGACGCACCGGAUCAGCACUCAGUCGUACCGUGAUUCCCGUCGGAGGCCGCCACACCGGGUUUGGGAGCGUCCCGCUUCUUCCUGGAGCUGGCCCCCAUCACGCAGAGGAGCGACAGGCGGGAGCAGCUGCGGGGAUGUGCGCUGUGCACGCGCGGCCACAGGUGGAGGCGAGGCUGGAGGGGCUCUACCCUGACACGGACUCAGCCGCUCUCUGAGGCUGCUCUGAGCGGCUUCGCAGGGAGCUUCACAUCUCUGUAAAGCUGCCCCCCCCCCCCAUCUGCUGAAGGAACUUUGAUUCCAGCCAAACUGGCUGUUCUGAUCUGGAGCUCUGCGCUGUUGACUUAUUAAAGACGGGAAACAAGAAAGAAGAGAGUGCAUGAAAUAUGAAGCCGGCGUCUUGGAGCUUCUGAACAUCCCUCAUCUCACGUUCUGUUGUAGGCGUGGACGCCAUGCAGCGGGAUCAUCUCCUUCCUGCUGCUCGCCGCCUCAGCCCGGCUUUGGAGGGAGCGGAUGCAGCAGAGCAGCAGCUGCACACUCCAGCACAGGAGUCAAGCCCCAGCUUAGUUCAGCCUUGAGUGGUGGAGCAGAGCCUGGAGGCGGCGGCGCUUCGGGCCUCCUCUGCCGGGGCGGGGGCUGCUGCUGCUGAAGGAUGGAGGUCUGCAGAGCUCCAUGAUGCAAGCCGAGGCUGCAGGGAGAAAGUGACGGACAGCAGAUCUGCUGCCUGGGUUGCAUCACCUCCUCAUUGGAGCAGCGCUCUGGCGCCCCCUGCUGGCUGUCAGAGCGCCGUUUGGAGGUGUAGCGAGCAGAUGGGGUGGGGGUCAGGUUCAGCGUGGAAUCAGGUCUUCAGGUAAAGGUGCUGGUGUGUCCCAACCAGCCAGACUUGACUUCUUAAUGUUCAAACACAGCAAUGUUUCCAGAGAAUGUUUAGAGCAAAGCAGCUCCUUGCAGCUAAACAGGAAGUCUGCAACCUGCAGCUCCGGAGCCUCAUGUGGCUCUCUGGUUAGGAAAAAAUCCAAGUUCUUCCUGUUUUUUUGUUUUGUAUUUUACUACAAGGUGUGUCAAACAAACCCCAAAAGGCAGGAAAGUUGAAGCAGAGUACGUCUCAGACUUCCUGUUGUUGGAAAAUCCAAGGAUUUGAAGAUUCCUCAAGCUCCGGAAAAUAUGCUGAAGGUCACUUAGUCAGAAUUCCUGUCUGAGAUGCUCCAGCAGUAAAACAAACGGUGCUUUUUAAAAACAUCAUUGCUGAGAUUAAACUAUUGCUGCAUUGAGA